rnacentral:rRNA from 1 species
AUUGAACGCUGGCGGCAUGCUUUACACAUGCGAGUCGAACGGCAGCGCGGGCUUCGGCCUGGCGGCGAGUGGCGAACGGGUGAGUAAUACAUCGGAACGUGCCCAGUAGUGGGGGAUAGCUCGGCGAAAGCCGGAUUAAUACCGCAUACGACCUGAGGGUGAAAGCGGGGGAUCUUCGGACCUCGCGCUAUUGGAGCGGCCGAUGGCAGAUUAGCUAGUUGGUGGGGUAAAGGCCUACCAAGGCGACGAUCUGUAGCUGGUCUGAGAGGACGACCAGCCACACUGGAACUGAGACACGGCCCAGACUCCUACGGGAGGCAGCAGUGGGGAAUUUUGGACAAUGGGCGAAAGCCUGAUCCAGCAAUGCCGCGUGUGUGAUGAAGGCCUUCGGGUUGUAAAGCACUUUUGGCGGGAACGAAAAGGACUGUGCCAAUACCACGGUUCGAUGACGGUACCCGCAGAAUAAGCACCGGCUAACUACGUG